UUCUAGAAUAAAUUGCCGAAUCUGGUGAGGACGGGGCCAUGUGUGUAACCUCUCACCCAGGCUUUACACCUCAUCUGAACAGUUGGGUAUUGGAUACAUAUUUCCUGACCCAGAAAGUGAAAUGGAAACACCAGCCAAAGCCCGCUGGAGAAAGCGACUUCUGAGCAUAGAACAGUAUCGGCUUCCUGUGUUGUCCAGGCCAUCAGAGCUAAUUACCCAGCACAAGAUGGGCAGUACCGUGGCUACCAGGAGACAGUAGAUGCUUAAGAUGAGCUGUGACUAUUUUGACUCUAGCAAAACGCACCCUACACGUUUUAUUUUUGUAAAUAGUUCAUAUUUUUUCAUGAAUAAAACUUCAAAUUCA